GCCACUGGUGUCCCCCCCGCGCCAGCGUGACCCCCCCGGCUCCGAGUGUCACAGCCUGGGGGGGGACACGGGGCUGGGGGCACGGAGGGACCCCUCGGUCCUCUGUGUCCCCCGGGACCUGGCACCGCUCCGGGCUCGGGGACAGCGCCAGGUCUGGAUGGUGGCAGCUUCUCCCCCCAGGCUGAUGUGGCACCUGCGGGGACAGGAAGCAGAGGGUGAACACGGCCAGGUCGAACUCGGGGCUGGAGCCCACCAGGAGCGACCCCCGCGGCUUGGAGUGACCGUCCCAGCGGAACUGCAGCGACAGCACGUCCGGGAAGGAUGUCCACUGCGGGGGGACACGGAGGGGUCACGGAGGGGACGGACAGGGGGACAGACAGGGGGACAGACACGGGGACAUGGCGGGGUCA